UGGGGAAUUUUGCACAAUGGGGGAAACCCUGAUGCAGCGACGCCGCGUGAUUUAGAAGGCCUUCGGGUUGUAAAAAUCUUUUGUAUGGGAAGAAAAUGACAGUACCAUACGAAUAAGGACCGGCUAAUUACGUGCCAGCAGCCGCGGUAAUACGUAAGGUCCGAGCGUUGUCCGGAAUCAUUGGGCGUAAAGGGUACGUAGGCGGAUAAGCAAGUUAGAAGUGAAAUCCUAUAGCUCAACUAUAGUAAGCUUUUAAAACUGCUCAUCUUGAGGUAUGGAAGGGAAAGUGGAAUUCCUAGUGUAGCAGUGGAAUGCGCAGAUAUUAGGAGGAAUACCGGUGGCGAAGGCGACUUUCUGGCCAUAUACUGACGCUGAGGUACGAAAGAGUGGGUAGCAAACAGG
rnacentral:rRNA from 1 species